GGAUGAUUAGCUAAGUUGUUUAGAGCAUGGUGCUAAUAAUGCCAAGAUUGCAGGUUCAAUCCCUCCAUUCACUU
rnacentral:tRNA from 1 species